GGGGGUGUAGCUCAGUGGUAGAGCGUUCGCUUCGCAUGUGAAAGGUCCGGGGUUCAAAUCCCCGGACCUUUC
rnacentral:tRNA from 1 species